rnacentral:rRNA from 1 species
AGAGUUUGAUCAUGGCUCAGGACGAACGCUGGCGGCGCGCUUAACACAUGCAAGUCGAACGGGUGCCUUCGGGCGCCAGUGGCGAACGGGUGCGUAACACGUGAGUGACCUGCCCCUGUGCGGGGGAUAACCCGGGGAAGCUCGGGCUAACACCGCAUGAGCUCGACGGGUCGGGCUGUCGAGGAAAGCUCCUGAGAGGGAGUGUGCAGGGAGGGGCUCGCGGCGUAUCAGGUAGUUGGUGAGGUAACGGCUCACCAAGCCGACGACGCGUAGGGGGUCUGAGAGGAUGGCCCCCCACAUUGGGACUGAGAUACGGCCCAGACUCCUACGGGAGGCAGCAGUGGGGAAUCUUGCGCAAUGGGCGAAAGCCUGACGCAGCCAACCCGCGUGGGUGAUGAAGGUCUUCGGAUCGUAAAGCCCUGUCGUGAGGGAAGAAUUCUGACGGUACCUCACAAGAAAGCGCCGGCUAACCCCGUGCCAGCAGCCGCGGUAAUACGGGGGGCGCAAGCGUUGCUCGGAAUCACUGGGCGUAAAGCGUCCGCAGGCGGCUUGGUAAGUCGGGUGUGAAAGCCCGGGGCUCAACCCCGGAACUGCAUUCGAAACUGCCUCGCUCGAGUACGGGAGAGGAUGGCGGAAUUCCUGGUGUAGAGGUGAAAUUCGUAGAUAUCAGGAGGAACACCGGUGGCGAAAGCGGCCAUCUGGCCCGAUACUGACGCUCAUGGACGAAAGCGUGGGGAGCAAACAGGAUUAGAUACCCUGGUAGUCCACGCCGUAAACGAUGGAUGCUAGCUGGCGGGUCUUCUACCGACUCGCUGGCGUCGCUAACGCAUUGAGCAUCCCGCCUGGGGAGUACGGCCGCAAGGCUAAAACUCAAAGGAAUUGACGG